AUACGGAGGAUCCGAGCGUUAUCCGGAUUUAUUGGGUUUAAAGGGUGCGCAGGCGGCCAUUUAAGUCAGCGGUUAAAUCGUGGGGCUCAACCCCAUUCUGCCGUUGAUACUGGGUGGCUUGAUUGCGGUCGAGGUUGGCGGAAUUCGUUGUGUAGCGGUGAAAUGCAUAGAUAUGACGAAGAACACCGAUUGCGUAGGCAGCUGACCAGACCGCAAAUGACGCUCAUGCACGAAAGUGCGGGGAUCGAACAGGAUUAGAUACCCUGGUAGUCCGCACAGUAAACGAUGUAUACUUGUUUUCGGCGAUAUAAUGUCGGAGGCAAAGCGAAAGCGAUAAGUAUUCCACCUGGGGAGUACGCCGGCAACGGUGAAACUCAAAGGAAUUGACGGGG
rnacentral:rRNA from 1 species